CCGCCUCAGACAUAAUUGGGUUUCUUAAGACCCGUUUCCUCACUGGACGCGACUGUGAACAAAGAGGACUGAACUGCGGAAAUAAUUACUUCUAAUGAGAGAGACACUGGGGAAGGCAUUUGCCUGAAGAGUAUACUGGCCGCACUGUCUUCUGCCGUGAAAGAAUUGUGAGCCUCCCCCGGGUAAAGAUAACGCCACCCUCAUCACUGGAUCCCAUUUUACAGUGCCAGAACUGAUGGGCUCGGUAAAUCUUUGUCCAAAUGCAUGGUGUAAAUAAAUCACCAGAAAGCCCA